rnacentral:rRNA from 1 species
CCUACGGGUGGCAGCAGUCGAGAAUCAUUCACAAUGGGGGAAACCCUGAUGGUGCGACGCCGCGUGGGGGAAUGAAGGUCUUCGGAUUGUAAACCCCUGUCAUGUGGGAGCAAAAUAAAAAUAUAGUAUCACAAGCGGAAGAGACUGCUUACCCUGUGACAGCAGCCGCGGUAAUACAGAGGUCUCAAGCGUUGUUCGGAAUCACUGGGCGUAAAGGGUGCGUAGGCUGUUUCGUAAGUCGUGUGUGAAAGGCGCGGGCUAAACCCGGGGAGGGCACAUGAUACUGCGAGACUAGAGUAAUGGAGGGGGGACCGGAAUUCUCGGUGUAGCAGUGAAAUGCGUAGAUAUCGAGAGGAACACUCGUGUCGAAGGCGGGUUCCUGGACAUUAACUGACGCUGAGGCACGAAGGCCAGGGGAGCGAAAGGGAUUAGAUACCCUAGUAGUC